GGUUGUCAUCGCCGCCGCCGCCGCCACACCCACCUCCACCAUCCAUGCCCCUCCAGCCCCGGCCAUCAGAGAAGGCGCCCUCCUGAGAAUCCCCAUGCGGCGCUACCGUUCGGUGAGCAAGGAAGAGGAGAUUCAGAGGCUCGAGGAGGUCGCCAUUACCACCGGUGAAGAGGAUGCAGACGUCCUCCUUGAUAAGUAAGCACUCGUUACUUUGCUCGAUCUGACCCGAGGGGAGGAGCGGGAAGUGGCGGCGGUGGUCUGGCCUAGUGGUGACCAGAUGAUAAAAAGAGGUGGAAGGCGUUGCGCCAAUCAGCCUGCAACAACGGCAAGACGGCGGAGAUUUGGGCACCAGCGGUGCCAAAGGUGCGCUGGCUUCCUCAUGUAUCCCAUCGCCGUCGCCUGCCCGCCGUCUCCUUCCUGCCCCAGAGUGAAGAGAAUGACCAGCCAGAGUACAUCCGCGGAACACCUUGUGGGAUCCAGUACUUCGAAGAGCUUGAAGAUCAUUGUUACAGGGGUAAUGAGGUUAAGCUCUAUGAACACCAGGUAGACGCUCUCUUUGCUAUGUUUUGGCACAAGGAGCCAGACAUCAAGUACUACAUGUGCACAAUCAAUAAAACAUUUGCUAAGCCAGGCCACCGCAUGGUAACCACAAAAACACUCUUAUCUUC